rnacentral:tRNA from 1 species
GGAGAGGUGACCGAGAGGCCGAAGGUGCGGCACUGGAAAUGCCGUUCGUGGCGAAAGCUGCGACGUGGGUUCGAAUCCCACCCUCUCCG